UACGAAGGGGGCUAGCGUUGCUCGGAAUCACUGGGCGUAAAGGGUGCGUAGGCGGGUUUUUAAGUCAGGGGUGAAAUCCUGGAGCUCAACUCCAGAACUGCCUUUGAUACUGAAGAUCUUGAGUCCGGGAGAGGUGAGUGGAACUGUGAGUGUAGAGGUGAAAUUCGUAGAUAUUCGCAAGAACACCAGUGGCGAAGGCGGCUCACUGGCCCGGUACUGACGCUGAGGCACGAAAGCGUGGGGAGCAAACAGG
rnacentral:rRNA from 1 species